AGAAGACUGGAAAAGGUUACUGGGGCAACGCCUUCUGGUGAGGAACCAAUGUAAUGUGUUACCAGAAGGAGGAAAUAAGUGGCAACAGCUUUCUUGCUGUAAACCUGUUGACUGCAGAGAGAGAGAGAGAGCGAGAGAGAGAGAGUGCACCCAUCUGCACCCACAGGAAACAUGGCCUGAGUUAUUGCCCACGCCUGCAGCUAUGUGGCAGCUAAAAUUAGGGAAUGCUGCUGCUGCUGUCGGAGCAAAGAGGAGCAACAGCAGGAGCCAAAUGAGAAACCAGUAACUACAUGACACGCCUCAUCUGGAAGAGCUGAGCCACCAGCAACAUGUACCCUUCCCGUCCAAAGUCAGCCUAUUAGAAGAUGACGCUAAAAGCCUACAAGGAGCAUCUUCCCUGGGACAAGAUCCUGCACUGCUUCCCCUCAAGCAACUAUGAUGUCAGCAAGUCCACACCCUCUUGCAUCAUCACAGACCAUAAUGAAGACAGAUUCACAAACUCCUCUUUCAGCGGAGAUGAAUGUGUCUGAAAACCCUCUGCCUGUGAUGCCCGUAGAUGGUUAUAAAAUUAUAAAAUGAUUUAAUUGGAAGUGAAA